rnacentral:misc_RNA from 1 species
GCCUGAAAAGCAUUAGCUGGCUUUUGAUGUGGGGAUUGGUUCUACUCAGCGUGAUAAUGAUAUGACCGCCGAGGACAUCUUUCGAGAUGGCCAAUUGCCAUUUAGGCUGCUUCUAAUUUUGGUUGAGGAGAUACUGAUCACAUCUGCUCGACUUUUGAACUUUUGACCUCGAAUCAGGUGGGACUACCCGCUGAACUUAA